GUGCUUGCUUUGGCAGCACAUAUACUAAAAUUGGAAUGAUACAGAGAAGAUUAGCAUGGCCCCUAUGCAAGGAUGACAUGCAAAUUCGUGAAGGGUAAAAGAAAUGU
ensembl:snRNA U6 U6 spliceosomal RNA